AGUGAACGCUGGCGGUAGGCCUAACACAUGCAAGUCGAACGGCAGCACAGUAAGAGCUUGCUCUUACGGGUGGCGAGUGGCGGACGGGUGAGGAAUACAUCGGAAUCUACUUUUUCGUGGGGGAUAACGUAGGGAAACUUACGCUAAUACCGCAUACGACCUACGGGUGAAAGCAGGGGAUCUUCGGACCUUGCGCGAUUGAAUGAGCCGAUGUCGGAUUAGCUAGUUGGCGGGGUAAAGGCCCACCAAGGCGACGAUCCGUAGCUGGUCUGAGAGGAUGAUCAGCCACACUGGAACUGAGACACGGUCCAGACUCCUACGGGAGGCAGCAGUGGGGAAUAUUGGACAAUGGGCGCAAGCCUGAUCCAGCCAUACCGCGUGGGUGAAGAAGGCCUUCGGGUUGUAAAGCCCUUUUGUUGGGAAAGAAAAGCAGCAGGUUAACACCCCGCUGUUCUGACGGUACCCAAAGAAUAAGCACCGGCUAACUCCGUG
rnacentral:rRNA from 1 species